AUGGUUCAUGUGGGCACACAUGAACCCGCAUCACACAUCAUAGCAUAUCAUUAAUGCACAUGCAUAUAAUCAUGGCAUUUCACAUCAUCAUGUAAGACAGGACUCCACAUCCUAUCCUAGUGGACAUGAUCUUCCUAUUGUGCUUGACCUUCUAUAACAUCUAUGAGCCCGACACUCUAGGUCCGACCAUAUGAACCUAGGGCUCUGAUACCAUUCU
rnacentral:lncRNA from 1 species